GACGGAGGAUGCAAGCGUUAUCCGGAAUGAUUGGGCGUAAAGCGUCCGCAGGUGGCAGUUCAAGUCUGCUGUCAAAGACCGGGGCUUAACUUCGGAAAGGCAGUGGAAACUGAACAGCUAGAGUAUGGUAGGGGCAGAGGGAAUUCCUGGUGUAGCGGUGAAAUGCGUAGAGAUCAGGAAGAACAUCGGUGGCGAAGGCGGGUAGCUGGGCCGACACUGACGCUGAGGCGCGAAAGCCAGGGGAGCGAACGGG
rnacentral:rRNA from 1 species